rnacentral:rRNA from 1 species
GAUGAACGCUGGCGGCGUGCUUAACACAUGCAAGUCGAACGAUGAAAGCGGGAGCUUGCUCCUGCUGGAUUAGUGACGAACGGGUGAGUAACACGUGAGUAACCUGCCCUUGACUCUGGGAUAAGCGUUGGAAACGACGUCUAAUACCGGAUACGACCUUCGGAGGCAUCUCCUGGGGGUGGAAAGAAUUUCGGUCAAGGAUGGACUCGCGGCCUAUCAGCUAGUUGGUGAGGUAAUGGCUCACCAAGGCGACGACGGGUAGCCGGCCUGAGAGGUGACCGGCCACACUGGGACUGAGACACGGCCCAGACUCCUACGGGAGGCAGCAGUGGGGAAUAUUGCACAAUGGGCGCAAGCCUGAUGCAGCAACGCCGCGUGAGGGACGACGGCCUUCGGGUUGUAAACCUCUUUUAGUAGGGAAGAAGCGAAAGUGACGGUACCUAGCAGAAAAGCACCGGCUAACUACGUGACCAGCAGCCGC